UCUAAAACAUUAUUUAAAAAAAAAAGAAAAAGAAAAUGAGUCAAAGGCAUGAGCAGGCAUUCCACUGAGGAUGUCCAAAUAAUCAAAUACCCAACAUCAUUAGCCAUCAGGGAAAUUAAAUUAAAACCUCAAGAUGUCACUCUCAGCACUGGUGACAAUGAAAAAUGGCAACAACACCAACUGCUGGUGAGGAAUGCAGAGAAACUGAGUUGCUGGGAUACUGUUGAUGGGAGUGUCACAGUGAUGCCACCACAGGGAAAACAGAGUCACUGGGGGUUCUUUUUACAACUAAACAUGAAAACAUCAAGUGACCCAGAUUUGCACUUUCAGGCAAAAGAAGUGAACUUGUGUCCAACCAAAUCCUGUACGUGAAUGUUCAGAGCAGAUUCAUUCACAACAGCCCCAAACUGGAAGCAGCUCAUUUCAUUGGUGGGUGAAUGGUUGGAAUACGACACAGGAUUAUACAGGAACAAAAUAUUGAGACAUGCAGCAACCUGGAUGGGUCUCAGGGGAUUAUAUUGUGUUGAAAAACGCCAAUCCAGGCUGGGGUUGUAGCUCAGUGGUAGAGCGCUUGCCUAGCACCUAUGAGGCAUUAGGUUCAAUUCUCAGCACCGGAUAUAAAUAAAGGUCUAUUGACAACUAAAAAAAUAUAUAUUAAAAAAAAAAGAAGAAGAAAAACACCAAUCCUGCAAGGUUGCUUCUUGUACAAGUCUUUCUAUUUAACAUUUUCAAUGUUAACAUUUGAUUUUCCAAUAUUUAAUAUAUUUGGACCUUUUAAACAUUUUUAAUCCCCUUUAUUUAAUAUUCUAUAUUUUAAAUUAUUUAACCAAUUUUAAAACCUAUACAUCAUAAAUUUUCAGAAUUGGAAACCAGAUUAGUGGUUUCCAGAUUUGGGCAACCAGAGUGGGAGGUUGGGACAAGAGGAAGGUGGAUAAGAGUAUAAAGGAAACAAGGAUCCUUCUGAUGGGAAAGGAACAGUUGUGUACCUUGACAGUGAGGAGGAUACGCAAACUACAGAUGUGAUGGGAAUGCAAAGAAUAAGACAUACACACACAUAAACACACACAGAAAAGAAUACAAGUAAAACUGGGGAAAUCUGAACACAACCGAUGUUUCAACUGAAAUUGAUGUCAAUAUACUGGUUGUGACUUCAUAUAAUAGUUUUGCAAGUAGAACCACUAGGAGAAACAAGUUAAUGGGUUUGUGGAUUUCUAUUACUUCAUGCAAUUGGAGGUAAAUCUUCAAUGACCUCAAUUAAAAUUCAAUGAAAAUAAGAAUGCAUCAUACAAAUGUAGAAAAUAUGCAAAUGAUAAAGACUGUGAACAAAAUAAACAAUGUUGUCAUAAAUAAGCAACUGCUUAUACUUUGAAGUGUAUUCUUCUAGGCUUAAAAGUAUUUGUAUUGAGCUGCGUGUGGUGGUUCAUACCUAUAAUCACAGCAUCUAGGGAUGCUGAGGCAGGAGAAUUGCAAGUUCAAAGACACCUCAGAAAUUUACAUGGCCCUAAGCAACUUAGCAAGACCCUGUCUCAAAAUAAAAGUUAAAAAGCCUGGUGAUGUAACUCAGUGGUUAAGUGCCUCUGAGUUCAUUCCCUGGUACCAAAAGAAAAAAAAGAAUUUGUAUUGCAAAUUAUUGACAUUGAACUAUUGAAAAGCUAAUUUUUUUUCAGUUAAUAUAUACUAUGAGCAGUUUUCCAUGUUAUUAAAUAGUAAUAUGGGGGGGGGUGUUUGUUUGUUUAGUAAUAUAGGGAAUUGUGCCCUUGGACUGAAAGAGCUACAUUGCCAGCUCUUUUAAUCUUUUAUUUGGGGACAAGGUCUCACUAAGUUGCAGAAGCUGGCCUCCAACAGCCAGUCUUCCAGCUUCAGCCUCCCUCCUGAGAGACUGGGAUUACAAGUGUGCCAUGGGCACCACACCCAACUUUGAACCAUUAUUUUUUUUUAAUUUAUUUUUUAGUUGUAGUUGGAUACGAAUACCUUUAUUUUAUUCAUUUAUUUUAUAUGGUGCUGAGGAUCGAACCCAGUCCUUGCACGUGGUAGGUGAGCGCUCUACUGCUGAGCCACAAUCCCAGCCCUAAACCAUUAUUUUUAAUAACUGUAUUUUAUUUCUGUUUAUGAAAGAAACCACAAUUUAUUUACCCCCAAUCUUGCUUUGUUCUAUUUCUGCUGAAUAUGAGAAAUGUCCAAUGAAUAUCUUUAUAGAUAAACCUCUGGUCACAUCCCUAAUUAUUUCUCUCAGAUAAAUUUUAAGAAAUACAAUUAUUGUUCUAAGGAAUACCCAUUGUUAAGACUUCCUGCCCUUAUCACCAAAAGGUUCUGAAGCUAGACUGAAGUUCUGCUACAAUCUAACAAUUAUUGAAAAUAUCCAUUCCCCAAAUCCUCAAAAACACUGGGGAUUGCAGUCUUCCUAAAGUUGCAAAUUUGAUAAAACAUACAGUAUUUCUUUUUAAAAAAUUGUAUUCUUUAAAAUAUUUAUCCAACUAAAUUUUUUUUCUGCUGUUGUUAUUAAACUACUUCAUUGGACUGAGGGUAUACCUCAGUGGUAUAGCUCUUGCCUAACAUAUGUGAGGUCCUGGGUUCAAUCCCCAGCACUAUUUAAAGAAAAAAAAAAGUUCUUCUUUUGGAAAUUGUGAAACUGACCAUCCAUUUUUCUGUUACAGUAGGCACCAGAUUUUCUUUUUGGUUUCUAAGUAUGCUUUAUAAAUUAAGGUUCUUCUCUGUAUGUGCAACUUUUCCCCCACUUCUUUAUUUUCUAAUGUGCAG
rnacentral:lncRNA from 1 species